rnacentral:rRNA from 1 species
CCCUUAGAGUUUGAUCAUGGCUCAGAUUGAACGCUGGCGGCAGGCCUAACACAUGCAAGUCGAGCGGCAGCACAAGGGAGUUUACUCCUGAGGUGGCGAGCGGCGGACGGGUGAGUAAUGNCUAGGGAUCUGCCCAGUCGAGGGGGAUAACAGUUGGAAACGACUGCUAAUACCGCAUACGCCCUACGGGGGAAAGAGGGGGACUUUCGGGCCUCUCGCGAUUGGAUGAACCUAGGUGGGAUUAGCUAGUUGGUGAGGUAAUGGCUCACCAAGGCGACGAUCCCUAGCUGUUCUGAGAGGAUGAUCAGCCACACUGGGACUGAGACACGGCCCAGACUCCUACGGGAGGCAGCAGUGGGGAAUCUUGGACAAUGGGCGCAAGCCUGAUCCAGCCAUGCCGCGUGAGCGAUGACGGCCUUAGGGUUGUAAAGCUCUUUCGCCGGGGAAGAUAAUGACUGUACCCGGAGAAGAAGUCCCGGCUAACUUCGUGCCAGCAGCCGCGGUAAUACGAAGGGGACUAGCGUUGUUCGGAAUUACUGGGCGUAAAGCGCGCGUAGGCGGACUGAUCAGUCAGGGGUGAAAUCCCGGGGCUCAACCCCGGAACUGCCUUUGAUACUGUCAGUCUUGAGUUCGAGAGAGG